AGCGUAGGCGGAUUUUUAAGUGAGAUGUGAAAUACCCGGGCUUAACCUGAGUGCUGCAUUUCAAACUGAAAGUCUAGAGUGCAGGAGAGGAGAAGGGAAUUCCUAGUGUAGCGGUGAAAUGCGUAGAGAUUAGGAAGAACACCAGUGGCGAAGGCGCUUCUCUGGACUGUAACUGACGCUGAGGCUCGAAAGCGUGGGAGCAAACA
rnacentral:rRNA from 1 species